rnacentral:rRNA from 1 species
UACAGAGACUGCAAGCGUUAUUCGGAUUCACUGGGCGUAAAGGGUGCGCAGGCGGUUGGGUGUGUCAGAUGUGAAAUCCCGAGGCUUAACCUCGGAACUGCGUCUGAAACUACUCGACUAGAGUACUGGAGAGGGAAACGGAAUUCACGGUGUAGCAGUGAAAUGCGUAGAUAUCGUGAGGAACACCAGAGGCGAAGGCGGUUUCCUGGACAGUUACUGACGCUCAGGCACGAAAAGCAUGGGGGGAGCAAAAA